CGCCAGGCGGCGGGCGAGCAGGCGGAUGGACGCUAAAGGGCCGCAUAUGAACUCCACGGGGCUGAAGCCCAGGCCGCAGGCAUCCGCGUGCUUCUGGAACAGCUGCAGGACAGGCGGCCAUGAGUCCCGGAGCAGGAAGCCGGCGAGGACAGAGCUGCACACCCACCCUCUCGCUGAGCACCUUGCUCUCGUGGCCCAGGUACGCCCGGCAGACCAGACAGAACUUCAUCAGCCUACUCCGCAGGCCCAGGAGCACCUCCUGUCAGACAGCAGGAGGAAGGCGGCUCUUAAGAACAGUAAAGGAGGGAGAACCGCUGGCUGAUCUCCCUCCAGCUCUGCAGGAGACAAGCAAGACGAGGCCAGACGUGCGGGUGCUGCUCACAGGCAGACACAGGAGCUGAGGCCGCCCACUCCAGGCCCUUCCCACCCUGCCCUGUGCUUUGGGUGUCUCAGAGGACCGCACCGUGGGACGGGUGCUCACUGUACAGCUGAGGAGACAGGUGGGCAGCACAGGGCCAACCCCCAGCACCCCAAGUUCAGGGCCAGCCCUGGGCCACAGUUGCAUGAGGAGCCUGAGCCCAGGGUGAGCAGCAGGUCCUCACGGUGCCCGGCCCUGGACACCCAGCCCAGAGUCACGCGGCCCUCAGCCUGCCUCAGUCCCAAGUGUCAUCAGAUCACAGGCCUCGCAGCCUUGGGUGUGGUGCUCUCACACAGGAGCAGGACGACCCCGAGAUGUGUACAAGGUGGUCCUUUACAGACACCACCUGGCACCGAGUGUGGACAAGCCAAACGCCUGCAGGCUGCAUCUUCCAGGGCUCCCGGGAGGCUCUCCGGUAGCAACAAGCCAUGAUCAUUUGUGACCCCCUACUCACUCCUACAGCACAUCCACACGCCCAACAGCCCCACCCCCACAUCCACACACCUCCUGUUGCAUGAACGCGUCCAGCAGCGGGGUCAGCAU